GGGUUGUGAGGUUAAGCGACUAAGCGUACACGGUGGAUGCCCUGGCAGUCAGAGGCGAUGAAGGACGUGCUAAUCUGCGAUAAGCGUCGGUAAGGUGAUAUGAACCGUUAUAACCGGCGAUUUCCGAAUGGGGAAACCCAGUGUGAUUCGUCACACUAUCAUUAACUGAAUCCAUAGGUUAAUGAGGCGAACCGGGGGAACUGAAACAUCUAAGUACCCCGAGGAAAAGAAAUCAACCGAGAUUCCCCCAGUAGCGGCGAGCGAACGGGGAGCAGCCCAGAGCCUGAAUCAGUGUGUGUGUUAGUGGAAGCGUCUGGAAAGGCGCGCGAUACAGGGUGACAGCCCCGUACACAAAAAUGCACAUACUGUGAGCUCGAUGAGUAGGGCGGGACACGUGGUAUCCUGUCUGAAUAUGGGGGGACCAUCCUCCAAGGCUAAAUACUCCUGACUGACCGAUAGUGAACCAGUACCGUGAGGGAAAGGCGAAAAGAACCCCGGCGAGGGGAGUGAAAAAGAACCUGAAACCGUGUACGUACAAGCAGUGGGAGCACGCUUAGGCGUGUGACUGCGUACCUUUUGUAUAAUGGGUCAGCGACUUAUAUUCUGUAGCAAGGUUAACCGAAUAGGGGAGCCGAAGGGAAACCGAGUCUUAACUGGGCGUUAAGUUGCAGGGUAUAGACCCGAAACCCGGUGAUCUAGCCAUGGGCAGGUUGAAGGUUGGGUAACACUAACUGGAGGACCGAACCGACUAAUGUUGAAAAAUUAGCGGAUGACUUGUGGCUGGGGGUGAAAGGCCAAUCAAACCGGGAGAUAGCUGGUUCUCCCCGAAAGCUAUUUAGGUAGCGCCUCGUGAAUUCAUCUCCGGGGGUAGAGCACUGUUUCGGCAAGGGGGUCAUCCCGACUUACCAACCCGAUGCAAACUGCGAAUACCGGAGAAUGUUAUCACGGGAGACACACGGCGGGUGCUAACGUCCGUCGUGAAGAGGGAAACAACCCAGACCGCCAGCUAAGGUCCCAAAGUCAUGGUUAAGUGGGAAACGAUGUGGGAAGGCCCAGACAGCCAGGAUGUUGGCUUAGAAGCAGCCAUCAUUUAAAGAAAGCGUAAUAGCUCACUGGUCGAGUCGGCCUGCGCGGAAGAUGUAACGGGGCUAAACCAUGCACCGAAGCUGCGGCAGCGACACUAUGUGUUGUUGGGUAGGGGAGCGUUCUGUAAGCCUGUGAAGGUGUGCUGUGAGGCAUGCUGGAGGUAUCAGAAGUGCGAAUGCUGACAUAAGUAACGAUAAAGCGGGUGAAAAGCCCGCUCGCCGGAAGACCAAGGGUUCCUGUCCAACGUUAAUCGGGGCAGGGUGAGUCGACCCCUAAGGCGAGGCCGAAAGGCGUAGUCGAUGGGAAACAGGUUAAUAUUCCUGUACUUGGUGUUACUGCGAAGGGGGGACGGAGAAGGCUAUGUUGGCCGGGCGACGGUUGUCCCGGUUUAAGCGUGUAGGCUGGUUUUCCAGGCAAAUCCGGAAAAUCAAGGCUGAGGCGUGAUGACGAAGCACUACGGUGCUGAAGCAACAAAUGCCCUGCUUCCAGGAAAAGCCUCUAAGCAUCAGGUAACAUCAAAUCGUACCCCAAACCGACACAGGUGGUCAGGUAGAGAAUACCAAGGCGCUUGAGAGAACUCGGGUGAAGGAACUAGGCAAAAUGGUGCCGUAACUUCGGGAGAAGGCACGCUGAUAUGUAGGUGAAGUCCCUUGCGGAUGGAGCUGAAAUCAGUCGAAGAUACCAGCUGGCUGCAACUGUUUAUUAAAAACACAGCACUGUGCAAACACGAAAGUGGACGUAUACGGUGUGACGCCUGCCCGGUGCCGGAAGGUUAAUUGAUGGGGUCAGCGCAAGCGAAGCUCUUGAUCGAAGCCCCGGUAAACGGCGGCCGUAACUAUAACGGUCCUAAGGUAGCGAAAUUCCUUGUCGGGUAAGUUCCGACCUGCACGAAUGGCGUAAUGAUGGCCAGGCUGUCUCCACCCGAGACUCAGUGAAAUUGAACUCGCUGUGAAGAUGCAGUGUACCCGCGGCAAGACGGAAAGACCCCGUGAACCUUUACUAUAGCUUGACACUGAACAUUGAGCCUUGAUGUGUAGGAUAGGUGGGAGGCUUGGAAGUGUGGACGCCAGUCUGCAUGGAGCCGACCUUGAAAUACCACCCUUUAAUGUUUGAUGUUCUAACGUUGACCCGUAAUCCGGGUUGCGGACAGUGUCUGGUGGGUAGUUUGACUGGGGCGGUCUCCUCCUAAAGAGUAACGGAGGAGCACGAAGGUUGGCUAAUCUUGGUCGGACAUCAGGAGGUUAGUGCAAUGGCAUAAGCCAGCUUGACUGCGAGCGUGACGGCGCGAGCAGGUGCGAAAGCAGGUCAUAGUGAUCCGGUGGUUCUGAAUGGAAGGGCCAUCGCUCAACGGAUAAAAGGUACUCCGGGGAUAACAGGCUGAUACCGCCCAAGAGUUCAUAUCGACGGCGGUGUUUGGCACCUCGAUGUCGGCUCAUCACAUCCUGGGGCUGAAGUAGGUCCCAAGGGUAUGGCUGUUCGCCAUUUAAAGUGGUACGCGAGCUGGGUUUAGAACGUCGUGAGACAGUUCGGUCCCUAUCUGCCGUGGGCGCUGGAGAACUGAGGGGGGCUGCUCCUAGUACGAGAGGACCGGAGUGGACGCAUCACUGGUGUUCGGGUUGUCAUGCCAAUGGCACUGCCCGGUAGCUAAAUGCGGAAGAGAUAAGUGCUGAAAGCAUCUAAGCACGAAACUUGCCCCGAGAUGAGUUCUCCCUGACCCUUUAAGGGUCCUGAAGGAACGUUGAAGACGACGACGUUGAUAGGCCGGGUGUGUAAGCGCAGCGAUGCGUUGAGCUAACCGGUACUAAUGAACCGUGAGGCUUAACCUUACAACGCCGAAGCUGUU
rnacentral:rRNA from 1 species